rnacentral:rRNA from 1 species
CGGGUGCGUAACGCGUAUGCAACCUACCUCAAUCAGGGGGAUAGCCCGAAGAAAUUCGGAUUAACACCGCAUAAAAACACAGUACAGCAUUGUACAAUGUUCAAAUAUUUAUAGGAUUGAGAUGGGCAUGCGUGUCAUUAGCUAGUUGGCGGGGUAACGGCCCACCAAGGCGACGAUGACUAGGGGAUCUGAGAGGAUGACCCCCCACACUGGUACUGAGACACGGACCAGACUCCUACGGGAGGCAGCAGUAAGGAAUAUUGGUCAAUGGAGGGAACUCUGAACCAGCCAUGCCGCGUGCAGGAAGACAGCCCUCUGGGUCGUAAACUGCUUUUAUUCGGGAAUAAACCUACUUACGUGUAAGUAGCUGAAUGUACCGAAGGAAUAAGGAUCGGCUAACU